rnacentral:lncRNA from 1 species
UAUAUAUAUAUACAUAUAUACAUAUAUAAUAAAGCACCGUUAUCAAAUUAUCUAAAGCAACUUAGACCAAGGCCUAUAUGAAAAAGAAACCAAAAGCCUGAAAUCAACUAUCUACUAGACCUAAUUUAUGACGAGAUCCUACAGAAAACUACAUAAAAUACAAAUGUGUGUUUUUGUGUGUUCCGAGUUCCAGGUUCUGUUGCCCAGAGGUCCACUACCGGCAGUGUCCAUCCCGACCUCUUGGCCCCCUGGAUUGCAUGAGGACCUUCAACAAAAAGGCGGCACUACAUGAUUGAAGACGAAUGCUGGGACUGAUGGACAUACUCUGUGUGACGGGAACAGCUCUAGAAUUGAAAGUGUGAAAAGAAUCCUCAGUAAGCACCUGGAAUGUUCUCAUAAACGUGAUGUUUAGACUCGGUGCUGAAGUUCUGUCCUUUGGUUUUUGCAUUUUUGAAGCUGAUUAUGUUUUGUUGAGGAUCUUGAAAAAUUAGAGCAAAAGGGAAAACUGUAAUAAAUUAGAUUAUGACCCCGUAGCUACUGUUGGGUGAGAUUGUAUUUAGUUCACAUUUGCUCUGAACACUUAUCUACAACAAGCAAGAUGUUCUUGUGGACCUCAGAAUCAGGAUGAGCAGUGUGAUUUGUGUCCAGGUUGUAGGACAUUGGACCAGAUUGUCACCUCAUGGUCAACUGUAUGGGUCCAGUGGUUCCUACAACCAAAGCAGGAGCUGUGCUCACAUUCUUGGCUACUGUCUUGAGUUUGCUCCCUAAGCAGGCUGGCUCCAACCCUGCCACCCUGGUCUCAGAUCCUGUUUGUGGAUAGAAUCCAACAGGGUAGUCAUGGAGAUGAGGCUGUCUGGUUUAGGAAACUUGGGGUUUCCUCUCUGCGUUUUGCAGAUGAUGAUAUUUUGUUAACUUCUUCAGGCCAUGAUCUUCAGUGUGCAACGGGGAAGUUUGCAGCCAAGUACGAAGCAGCCAGGAAGAGAAGAGUCUGCUCCUCACAACCUAUGACCAUGCCCAGAACACGGUGAAAUGCUUCUUAAAGUGUCUUUGCUUCAAGAAGAGCAGUUUGAGUAAGUUGGUGUAUUGGUGCACAAAUGGUGGUCAGGAUAGAAUGAUAGGUGGACUGAUGGAAAGGUGAAGUUCUCAGUAUACACUCAUCUAUGGUCCUCACUCCCUAAAGUAUUUCUGCCAGUCUUUUACACUGUGUUUUAUUUUAGAAUUUGGUAAAAUCAAUUAAAUCUUAUCAAGUAUUUUCAACAUGUGUUUUUGUUCAAUC